UACCCGCAGCACAAGUGGUGGUCAUUAUUAUUGGGCCUAAAGCGUCCGUAGCUGGCUUGUUAGAUGCCUGGGUAAAUCGAUGCGCUCAACGUAUCGAAUUCCGGGUAGACCGGCAAGCUCGAGACCGGGAGAGGUGUAGGCUACUCGAGGGGUAGGGGUAAAAUCCGUUGAUCCAUUGAAGACCACCAGUGGCGAAGGCGGCUUGCCAGAACGCGCUCGACGGUGAGGGAUGAAAGCUGGGGGAGCAAACCGG
rnacentral:rRNA from 1 species